ACCCCAGAUCCUGCUCCUGAGGGCAGACUGCUACUGGAGUCUUCAACCCUAAGCUGAGGCACAGACAAGGGUGGCUGUUUGCUGGGGAUGUACAGGACAAAGCCAAGGGUGGAGAGAGAAGACGGUGGCUGCAGGCUAAGGGCUGUAGACUGCUGCUGCCCCCUAUCCCCAAGAUGACUUUCUGGCCCAGAAUUCAGAAGACCCUGAAGAUUGGAACUAGAACCUGGCUUUCCAGGUCUUUCUGAAGGUCUGCUUGCCAAGGAAGUCACAUCCUACAGAUGGAAGCAGGGCAUCUUGUUUAAGUGGCGAGAGGAGACCCAGGACUCUUCCGGCAUGGGCUCCCCUUUCCUGACCCUUUCCCCAAGGGGGCUCCCUGAAGCACCUCCUAGCAACCCUGGGCCAAGGAGAAGUUUGCCAUCUGCAUUAGUCCGUUUUCACACUGCUGAUAAAGACAUACCCGAGACUGGGUAAUUUAUAAAGAAGAAGAGGUUUAAUGGACUGACAGUUCCACAUGGCUGGGGAGGCCUCUCAAUCACGGCAGAAAUCAAAGGAGAAGCAAAGGCACGUCUUACAUGGUGUCAGUUCCUGCUAUUGUCCAUCCUUUGUUCCUUUCAGGAGCUGUGAUCACAAAAUGUCAGUCUUCUAUUGUGAGAGAUGGUUCUGCCUGGUGGCUCUUUGGUCCUCUGUUCCCUGAGCGCUGUUGGGUGCCCCAGCUCCUCCCACCCUCUCUGCUUCAAUCAAGACACUUACGUUGUAGAAAGCAUAGCUGACUGCAACAGCUGCAAUUUUUAUCAUCUCCCUGCAA